rnacentral:rRNA from 1 species
UACGGAGGGUGCAAACGUUAUCCGGAAUCACUGGGCGUAAAGCGCAUGUAGGUGGUUUGGAAAGUGAGCGAUUAAAGACCGAUGCUUAACAUCGGGACUGUUACUUAUACUACCUGACUUGAGGAAGGCAGGGGCAAGCGGAACUUUGGGUGUAGGGGUGAAAUCCGUAGAUAUCCAAAGGAACACCAAUGGCGAAGGCAGCUUGCUGGGCCUUUCCUGACACUGAGAUGCGAAAGCGUGGGGAGCGAACGGG